CCUAUCUGCGGACACAACAUAGAGGACUUUUUGGUUAAAAAACUGCGGGCAGAGUGAAGUAAAGUAAAUAGAAAUUGUAUAUUCGGGAGAGCAGGGUGGAUUGCGUCGUCCGGCGAGCACACACGAGAAGCCUCAGCACA
ensembl:ncRNA Y22F5B.1 ncRNA